UGAAAGGUCAAGGUCAAGGUCAUCCUUCAAGGUCAGAGGUCAAAUAUAUGUGGCCCAAAUCGCUUAUUUUAUAAAUACUUUUGCAAUAUUGAAGAUAGCAUCUUGAUAUUUGGCAUGCAUGUGCAUCUCAUGGAGCUGCACAUUUUGAGUGGUGAAAGGUCAAGGUCAAGGUCAUCCUUCACAAGGUCAAGGUCAUCCUACAAGGUCAAACAUCAUAUAGGGGGACAUUGUGUUUCAC